AACGAACGCUGGCGGCAGGCCUAACACAUGCAAGUCGAGCGCCCUCUUCGGAGGGAGCGGCAGACGGGUGAGUAACGCGUGGGAACCUACCCUUUGGUACGGAAUAACUCAGGGAAACUUGAGCUAAUACCGUAUAAGCCCUUCGGGGGAAAGAUUUAUUGCCAAAGGAUGGGCCCGCGUUGGAUUAGUUUGUUGGUGAGGUAACGGCUCACCAAGACUACGAUCUAUAGCUGGUCUGAGAGGACGAUCAGCCACACUGGGACUGAGACACGGCCCAGACUCCUACGGGAGGCAGCAGUGGGGAAUCUUGCACAAUGGGCGAAAGCCUGAUGCAGCCAUGCCGCGUGAGUGAAGAAGGCCCUAGGGUUGUAAAGCUCUUUCAGCAGGGAAGAUAAUGACGGUACCUGCAGAAGAAGCCCCGGCUAACUCCG
rnacentral:rRNA from 1 species